rnacentral:rRNA from 1 species
ACUUAAAUUGAAGAGUUUGAUCAUGGCUCAGAUUGAACGCUGGCGGCAGGCCUAACACAUGCAAGUCGAGCGGUAGCACAGAGAGCUUGCUCUCGGGUGACGAGCGGCGGACGGGUGAGUAAUGUCUGGGAAACUGCCUGAUGGAGGGGGAUAACUACUGGAAACGGUAGCUAAUACCGCAUAACGUCGCAAGACCAAAGUGGGGGACCUUCGGGCCUCAUGCCAUCAGAUGUGCCCAGAUGGGAUUAGCUAGUAGGUGGGGUAAUGGCUCACCUAGGCGACGAUCCCUAGCUGGUCUGAGAGGAUGACCAGCCACACUGGAACUGAGACACGGUCCAGACUCCUACGGGAGGCAGCAGUGGGGAAUAUUGCACAAUGGGCGCAAGCCUGAUGCAGCCAUGCCGCGUGUAUGAAGAAGGCCUUCGGGUUGUAAAGUACUUUCAGCGAGGAGGAAGGCGUUAAGGUUAAUAACCUUAGCGAUUGACGUUACUCGCAGAAGAAGCACCGGCUAACUCCGUGCCAGCAGCCGCGGUAAUACGGAGGGUGCAAGCGUUAAUCGGAAUUACUGGGCGUAAAGCGCACGCAGGCGGUCUGUUAAGUCAGAUGUGAAAUCCCCGGGCUCAACCUGGGAACUGCAUUUGAAACUGGCAGGCUUGAGUCUUGUAGAGGGGGGUAGAAUUCCAGGUGUAGCGGUGAAAUGCGUAGAGAUCUGGAGGAAUACCGGUGGCGAAGGCGGCCCCCUGGACAAAGACUGACGCUCAGGUGCGAAAGCGUGGGGAGCAAACAGGAUUAGAUACCCUGGUAGUCCACGCUGUAAACGAUGUCGACUUGGAGGUUGUUCCCUUGAGGAGUGGCUUCCGGAGCUAACGCGUUAAGUCGACCGCCUGGGGAGUACGGCCGCAAGGUUAAAACUCAAAUGAAUUGACGGGGGCCCGCACAAGCGGUGGAGCAUGUGGUUUAAUUCGAUGCAACGCGAAGAACCUUACCUACUCUUGACAUCCAGAGAACUUAGCAGAGAUGCUUUGGUGCCUUCGGGAACUCUGAGACAGGUGCUGCAUGGCUGUCGUCAGCUCGUGUUGUGAAAUGUUGGGUUAAGUCCCGCAACGAGCGCAACCCUUAUCCUUUGUUGCCAGCGGUUCGGCCGGGAACUCAAAGGAGACUGCCAGUGAUAAACUGGAGGAAGGUGGGGAUGACGUCAAGUCAUCAUGGCCCUUACGAGUAGGGCUACACACGUGCUACAAUGGCAUAUACAAAGAGAAGCGACCUCGCGAGAGCAAGCGGACCUCAUAAAGUAUGUCGUAGUCCGGAUUGGAGUCUGCAACUCGACUCCAUGAAGUCGGAAUCGCUAGUAAUCGUAGAUCAGAAUGCUACGGUGAAUACGUUCCCGGGCCUUGUACACACCGCCCGUCACACCAUGGGAGUGGGUUGCAAAAGAAGUAGGUAGCUUAACCUUCGGGAGGGCGCUUACCACUUUGUGAUUCAUGACUGGGGUGAAGUCGUAACAAGGUAACCGUAGGGGAACCUGCGGUUGGAUCACCUCCUUACCUUAAAGAA